GCUGCUCUUACGAGGCUGCAUUCGUGGAGGCUGAGGGCGGCUGGGAGCUCCUGGAGCAGGCAGAGAGCCACCACCUCGGAGUGUCACUGCUGGCAAGGGCCAUGGUGCGAUACUCCUGCCAGGACCGGUGCCGCUUCCUCUACCUUCUCAUCCCUCUCCUGGAGCACGGUGACAAGAAGCACAAGAUCACUGCCACCGCCUUCUUCGUGGAGGUAUGACAGGGCCGCAGGUGUAAGGCAGAGCUCAGCUCAUGUCCGGGGUCACUUCUGCGCCAACAGGGUUGCAGUUUACAAACCCUUUCCAGGAGCAAUGUUUUCCCCCCCGAACAUGAGGCGUAGGUCCCCCUCCCUGAUCCCCCUUCUCUCCACCCCGCUUCCUCCUGUUCAGUUCUCCCCAGACCCUCCGAGGGCCGCCAGGCAAACAGCAACCUCUGCUGCCCCUCUCUGUGCCAGGCACCACAGGUGCACAUUUGAAUUUGACUCUACCCUGGCCAGAAGGAAUUCUCCGUGUGUCCGCAGAAGACCAAGUGCCCCCCAGUUAUAACCUGUGAGGGUUCUAAAAAGUGACUGUGGUGAGAGAGCAGGUCAGAGAAGGGAGGAGGUGUCAGGGAGGGCUUCCCGGAAGAAGGCUGAGCAGCUGCCGGAAGUGCUGGGGCUGGGUGGUGGAGGGGAGUCGGGAGUCCGGAGACGUUGGAGGGGACAGAGCUGGGAGGGAGAGACUCAGUAGUGGCAUUUGCUAAAGUGUUAAAGACUCUUGAGCACUUGCUCUCUUCCAGGAGAGUUCCAGGCUUUACGAUUACUGAUUCACUUCAUCCUCACAGUAACCCUGAGACUCAGACCAGACGGUGGCCCACUGUAAAGAAGAGACCCGAGGGGAAAAAAAUAAAAAAAAGAAGGGACCUGAGGCACAGAGUUCAGCACCUUUCCCAGGGCCCAAGUGGCAGAUCUAGGAUUCCAACCCAGACUCUUGGGCUCUGGGACCUUCUCUGUCUCUGUCUCUUUUUAAUUUAUCCUCAUUAUGAUAAAAAUAUAUAGAACAUAAGAUUUGCCAUUCUACCCUCUUAAGUGUCCAGUUUGGAGGCAUUAAGUAGAUUCCUAUCCCUGCGCAACCCGUCUCCAGAACGAUUUCACCUCCCGAAGCCCUGUUCCCAUGGACCCUGACCCCGCCUCUCCUUCUCCCCCAGCCCUCAGGGACCUCUGUUCUACUUUCUGCCGCUGUUUGUGUGUUCUGGCUUCUUCGUGCAAGCGGCCCAUUUGUGCUUGUGCUUGGCUAUUUCAUUAUAUCGUCAAGGCUGUGUAAGAAGUCCCUCCCUUUUGAAGGCUGUGGUGUGGUGGACGUCGUAAAGUCCACUCUGUACCGCCACACUCACCUGCCUUUUGUGACCUGACAUUGUCAUU
rnacentral:lncRNA from 1 species